AGCUUUGCGCAUUGGCAGUAUCAUAGACAAUGAGGUUUAUCCAAGGCGUGGUUAUUGGUAAUUGAAAGUGGCUCUGUUAUAAAUCUGAAAGUGACAAUUGCUUUCUCACUUGCCCUGAUGUCCUCUUUCCCUUCUGUCUUCUACCAAGGGAUGGCAUUGGGCACAGGCCC
rnacentral:snRNA from 1 species